rnacentral:rRNA from 1 species
GAUGAACGCUGGCGGCGUGCCUAAUACACGCAAGUCGAGCGAACGGACGAGAAGCUUGCUUCUCUGAUGUUAGCGGCGGACGGGUGAGUAACACGUGGAUAACCUACCUAUAAGACUGGGAUAACUUCGGGAAACCGGAGCUAAUACCGGAUAAUAUUUUGAACCGCAUGGUUCAAAAGUGAAAGACGGUCUUGCUGUCACUUAUAGAUGGAUCCGCGCUGCAUUAGCUAGUUGGUAAGGUAACGGCUUACCAAGGCAACGAUGCAUAGCCGACCUGAGAGGGUGAUCGGCCACACUGGAACUGAGACACGGUCCAGACUCCUACGGGAGGCAGCAGUAGGGAAUCUUCCGCAAUGGGCGAAAGCCUGACGGAGCAACGCCGCGUGAGUGAUGAAGGUCCUCGGAUCGUAAAACUCUGUUAUUAGGGAAGAACAUAUGUGUAAGUAACUGUGCACAUCUUGACGGUACCUAAUCAGAAAGCCACGGCUAACUACGUG